AUUGAACGCUGUCGGCAGGCCUAACACAUGCAAGUCGAACGAGUGGCGGAAGGGUGAGUAAUGUCUGGUAAACUGCCUGAUGGAGGGGGAUCACUACUGGAAACGGUAGCUAAUCCCGCAUACCAUCAGAUGGGCCCAGAUGGGAUUACCUCGCUGGUGGGGUAACGGCUCACCCAGGCGACGAUCACUAGCUAGCCUGAGAGGAUGACCAGCCACACUGGAACUGAGACAGGGUCCAGACUCCGACGGGACGCAGCAGUGGGGAAGAUUGCACAAUGGGCGCAAGCCUGAUGCAGCCAUGCAGCGUGUAUGAAGAAGGCCUUCGGGUUGUAAAGUACUUUCAGCGGGGAGGCGUUACCCGCAGAAGAAGCACCGGCUAACUCCGUGCCAGCAGCCGCGGUAAUAC
rnacentral:rRNA from 1 species